rnacentral:lncRNA from 1 species
UAAACUGUUCAAACAACAAUAUAUGUAAAAUAUCAAUAGAAUAUAAAAGCUUGUUAUUCUUCUUGUCAACAUUACAGACUACUGGUAUCUAAAUAAUAAAAUGUCAGAGUUCCACGUCAUUGAUUGCAAGGUGUAUAUCAUGCAUUGUACUGUGCAUGUCAUGCUUUGUAAGGUUUUGCAGAGGAAGAAAAACUGAAAAACUAGACCUCAAAUCAAGGAGGAGACCUAACAAACUCUACUCAAAACUCUCCAGCUGCAAGGAAAAAAAGGCAUAAAUGUACUACUGCUAUAUGUCAUGCAUAAUUUCCAACAACACUAACCUGGACAGUGUGGAUUAAUAGUGCAGUUGGUGCAGUUGACAGUGGUUAAAGAGUGGCUGUGUAUUGGUGGCAGGUGAAUACUACUGUUUACUCUAUUGCAACUAAAGUAAGAACUCUGCAGAAAAAGCAAGUAUACCUGUAUGUUACAGUUGGUUUCACAUUACUUUACGCCUUCGGGCUCUGAACUAUGAAACUUAGAAAUNAACAAGUUAUUGACCAACUUUGGAACUUAGCUGGUUGUGAACUUCAGAACUUAGAGCUUGGUUUAGUAUAUGGAAUUUGAAGUUCCUGAAAAAGAAUAUCUCAAAGGAAAUCCAGAAGCUACUUGAAAAUCAAGUUUGUUUGCUGCAGAAUGAGCCAACCAAGUUCUGAACUUUGGCAGGAAGCUCAGAAGUUCAUAACCAAUUUUUCCAAGUUCCAAAGUUGGUCGCCAACUUGGGAAUUUCCAAGCUUGAUGGUUCGGAACCCGAAGGUGUAAAGUACACGUAAUGAGAAACUGACAUAAAUCAAUAUGAUCCAAUCUCAAGCUUUUAACAAAUCUCUUUUCAUUUCAUUCCAAUCCAACCAUCUCAUAUCAUCUUUCAAAUUUUAUCCCAUUUUAUCUAUUCCUAUUCUACCCUAAACCAUAUCAUAUCAGCUAAUCUGAUCUCAUCCGGUCUUAUCUCAUCCAGCCCCCUCUUAUAUCCCAUCCUAUCCCACCCUAUCCCAUCCCAUUCCUGCCAUCCCACCUCAUCUGAUUUGAUUAAAUCUAGAAAUUUAUAAAUCAUUUAUCGUACUCUACAUGUCUAUACAGUACCAUACUUAUUUACCAAGAGAGUAUACGUACCUGUAUAUUUAUUAAAGAUGCCUCUCGUUCAGUCCUUAAAACAGGACCACUGGAAGUUCCAUAGAUAGAGGAAAAUGAACAACUGUCAAUGUGCAAAACAACCUGUUUGCUCACUACUAGAAGUGACCCAGACAUGACAUCAUUGUUACCAAAAACUGACCCAGUGAUAUUGGCCAUGGUUGACUGUGUCAUUUUUAUAAUACUUCCCGAGUUGUUCAUAAAAUGUGAAUCCCUUAGGACUGAUUGACAUCUGUCAAUCAAAAUCAGUAUUUGUUCCACAGUGACAUUGUUAGAAAAAAAAUUCAACUUUUCCAUGUGGAUAGCAGUGAUUUCUUUUGCUGAGAUCAGUUGUGCAUUGUUAAAAGAAAAUGUGGCUGUAUUCAAUAUUAUGUUGCUAUUGAAUCCUGUAAGACCUGAUGCCGACAUCAAUGGUAGAAGUGGUUGAUACCCAACACAAUUUGAGAUUGUAGCAUUCCACAGUUUAAUGCUUGAGCCAAGGCCAAUAAUACUGAAUGGAAGGUCUGUAACUAUUGAAUUCACAAUAGAAACAUUUGCAAUAAGAAGAUUUAGGAGUACUGGACUUGGAGAUGUGCUUGUCCAUUGGAUAUUAUUAAAGAUAAUAUCACAUUUAAUAA